CCAGAUGGCUGGAUGGCUGCUCUUUGUUUAGGCAAAGGGAGGAAAGUCCGGGCUCCACGGAAGCAAGGUGCCGGAUAACGUCCGGCGGGGGCGACCCCAGGGAAAGUGCCACAGAAAACAAACCGCCGACCCACCGGUAAAACGGUGGUGCCGGUAAGGGUGAAAUGGUGCGGUAAGAGCGCACCGCGCGGCUGGUAACAGCGGCGGCAGGGUAAACCCCACCUGGAGCAAGACCAAAUAGGGACGGCCGUUCGGGUAGCUUUUGCUACGCCGAAAGGUGGGUUUCCGCACCGUCGUCCGGGUCGGUCGCGUCGAGGUGCGCAGCGAUGCGCAUCCCAGAGGAAUGGCCAUCCAUUGGGCUUAGGAUGCAAAUCCGGGGCCCAGGGACAGAACCCGGCUUAUAGGCCAUCUGGCGCA
rnacentral:RNase_P_RNA from 1 species